GACGAACGCUGGCGGCGUGCCUAACACAUGCAAGUCGAGCGAAUGAGGUUCCUUCGGGAAUGGAUUUAGCGGCGGACGGGUGAGUAACACGUGGGCAACCUGCCUCAUAGAGGGGAAUAGCCUCCCGAAAGGGAGAUUAAUACCGCAUAAGAUUGUAGUACCGCAUGAUACAGCAAUUAAAUGAGCAAUCCGCUAUGAGAUGGGCCCGCGGCGCAUUAGCUAGUUGGUGAGGUAAUGGCUCACCAAGGCGACGAUGCGUAGCCGACCUGAGAGGGUGAUCGGCCACAUUGGGACUGAGACACGGCCCAGACUCCUACGGGAGGCAGCAGUGGGGAAUAUUGCACAAUGGGGGAAACCCUGAUGCAGCAACGCCGCGUGAGUGAUGACGGCCUUCGGGUUGUAAAGCUCUGUCUUCAGGGACGAUAAUGACGGUACCUGAGGAGGAAGCCACGGCUAACUACGUG
rnacentral:rRNA from 1 species